AUCGUGGGGCCACUUCCCGGUCUGGCUCAGAUGGGGAGGGGGGACAAGGCCCAGGGGGCCUCCCUCAUCAGCCACCUUCUCCCUGAGAUGAGAAAACGAAGACCUUGAGAUACGGGGAUUUGCCAAGAGCCACCCAUGCCCCCCCUCCGCUCCCCCUGUCCCCAGUGCCACCCCCACCUCCAGACACAUUGUCCCCCACACAGACAUGAGGGCCUGGGGGCCUGAAGAGGCAUCAGGAAUGUGAACGAGAGCACCGGUGUGACCCUAUUCCCUGCUUGCCAAGUCGCCCCCAAAGCGGCUGCUCGGCCUGGGGACAGGCUCCUCCCUGGGGUAGCUGCUGUCCCCCAAGUGCGCAGAGACGGUGAGCCUGGCACACUCGAGGGGGAGGCUCCAGGAGACAUCCCCCCCCUCUGCCACGAGUCCUUGAUGGCGCCCAGGAUCUGCUCUUUUUACCCUCAUCCCUCUGGGCCUUAGUUUCUGCAUUCGGAGACACGGUCCCCUGGCACAGGAAUUCUACUGGGUUCUGUCCCAGGGAGGCCUCUCUGACUCUCAUAAGCUUGCAGCCUUCGAGCCGGCAGUGGGGGAGAGUCCUUGAGAGCAGCAUUCUGACCCCCUUCUUUUACAGUGAGGAAACUGAGGCAUAGCACUGGAGUGCGGUGACUGGCCCAAAGAGCAGAGGUGCUUCCAGGCCUGCGUGGGGCAGAGACGUGGAGGGAGCCCAUGAAAGCCCAUUCCGAACACUCAUUUCUAAGAACUGGAGAGCGAGAGCCCAAGGAAGAGAUGGCCGGGGGAAGCCCAUCCCCCAGAUCCUGGGUCUGGCAGGGCACCACCAGGGAGGGGGUGCCCCUAGAGCAGCUCCCAGGCUGUCUUCAGGAAGCAAGUUCUUGGCCUUCCCGCAGACUUGUGGGUGCCUGGGCUCUGCCUCUGCUCACGUACCUCUCCCGCUCCAGGCCUUUCUCCACCUCCGUGGCUGGACGAUCGCUGCUCUGUGGUGAGACCUAGAGGAACCCAAACGAGGCAGCUAGAGUCUGCUACAUUUUGGCAAGCCUGUCUUAAGAUCAGCCCCGCCCCCUCCCCAGAGCUCUGUGGCCACCCUGCCUGGAGCCUGCUGACCUCUCCCUGGAUGGCACAGGCCAUUCCCACUCCACUACCAAAGCGAGUCGUCCAGAGCCGUCUCUACGAUGUAAGCUCCUUGAGAGCAGUGAUGGCUACGCUUUGGUUUUCCUCAUCUCUUGGGCCUCGUACACAGCGGGAGUCACUGACAAGAGCCUGCAAACUCGGUGAAAGAGCUGGGAAGCCAGGAUUUUCAGCAACAGUUGGACUCCAGACCUAAAUGGAUCUCAACAGGCCUUGACAAAGCAGGAAAGAACUGAAGAGGGGUGUCAAAAAUAGCUCCUUCCAAGCUCUGGAGAGCCAUUCUCUCCUCCUUCACUGGCUUCACACUUUGCACAGGCUCUGGGCCCGUGUGCCUGAGCCCUCCCUCACCAGGAUCUGCCCAGGGAUGAGGAAGGACGUGCUUCUUCAUCCUUUCUCUGGGACAAAUGAAGAGCAAUGGCUUCUGAUCCAGGAAGUAUCAGCGGGCAGUGUUGUCAAGCAACAGGGAAGAGCUUCUUCCUCAGCUUCCUGGAAUUUGCAGUAUUUAAAUUGUGGAAAAGAAUGGCAGCCUGAGGUCCCUUUUCCAUUUAUUCUGGCUGAACCUAAAGAAUUUCCAUGUAGGAGCUUAUGCAGGGCACUUCACAGAGAAAUAAACCACCAAGGUAUGCUCUCAGGAAGCUUAGAGUCUAAUGGCAGGGGAAAGAUGAGCACAUAAAUGCCUGAAAGAAAAGGGGUGCUGUGUUAAGUGCAAAGGAAACCCAGGAAAAGUGCUGGGAGAAAUGGAAGAGGGGAAGAGGCAAGGAAGGGAAGGCUCCCAAGAGGAGGUUUCAUUUGAGACUUUAAGAAAUGCUUACCUUUGGUUUUUUGCAAUUUGGUAGAUCAGGACUCUUGAGUUGCUCCUGACCACUUUCACAAAGAGCUAAAGUGAAAGCUCGUUUUUUGGAGACAGUUGGACCUUUGUGGGGUAAGCCAGAGGGAGACAGAAGCUGUCUCCAAGCAGCCCCCAGUUUCUUGGUGACCAUUCUGGGCUUCGUCUCAUGGUCUCCUCUGGUCUGCUCUUUUUUCCACUGGAGGGCUUUCUCCGCAUUGGUGAACAUUUGGCAGGUGAGAAGAGAGAGCUCACACCAUCCCAUUUUGGCACAGGAGACCUUCAGAUAUUCAAUGGUCUUCAUGACUCUCAUGACAUGGGCCAUCUUCCCCAGAUCUUUCUGGGAAGCCAAAGUGAGGUUUUUCAACAAUACAGCAAACAACUCGUAAUUGUGCUCGAGUUCAGAAAGGGUCGUGCCAUAAUUUACAGUCAAGGUAUAAGGCACCAGGUCCACAUAUGUGGCCAUGGGUAGGGUGGCCUGUUCCAGGAAUGUCCUUAUUUCAGAGAGUUCCAAGAGUUCUCUGGUCAGUAGCUGGAGUGCAUAAGAGGAAUUGGUCCCUUCAGGGUACUCACAGAUGACAGCCACCUCGCUUUUCAGUUCCAAUAUGGCCGAUUCCACGGCUUCCCAUAGGCAGCCUGCUGCAUUUUCUUUGAGAAACAAGAAGGAAGCUAUUUUUUCUUGGUUUUCUAUCAACUCAGAAAGGAGAGACAAAUCAAACCACAACAUCCCCCGAAACCUUGGUUUGUCCAGUUUUUUGGCCAUGACAUUUUUCAGGAAGUGAAUUGUUUCAGAGAGCAUAACCACUUCGAUGUACAUCUCAACAGCUUCAGGUUUCAGGAUGACUGACUCUUGGCGAUGCUUCUUGACCAGGUCUAACACGUUGUCUUCUGUGAUCAAGACACUAUCCACAGCGGCCUCCUGCAGAAUCUGGAAGCAUUUCUUUAAGGUCUCUAAAUGGCCCGUGCAUCUUGCUGUCAGUUCCUGUAAUUGUUUCAGGUCAGCAGAUCCUGCUUGGUUUAUUAUUUCUCCAACUUGGCACAUAUCUGAGAGAGGAAAAAGAGUAUCACUAAACCUGAAAUUUUCCCAGCUAGGCUUAUCCUCUCCAUCUAUGCAGUCACAGUGCUUACUGGGAGUAUCAACAGUUUCCUCAAGCAAACCCAUGGAAGCACAUUCUGCUUUGCUGUUAGCCUCCACAGUCUCAUAGAUCUGCUGAAGCUUGUUAAGGGCACACUCAUUAAAUCUGAGUAGUUCUUCCUUCCUCUUCUCAGGAGAGUCUUUUUUGAUAACUGAUAGGCCCCUCUCUUUCCAAACGAGACUUUUAGCAGCAUCAAAAAAGAUGUGUUCCAGGCCAUAGAGAGAUAUCUUCAUGCCAACAGAUUCAGAGUUUUUUAUAAAGUGCAUCUUGGAAGAGAUCAUUUCCAUGAUGAUCCAGAGAUGAUCCUGCUUCCCAGAACAAGACUGAACUCUAAGGAAAUGAUCCUGGUUACUGAUGAGUUCCAAAGUGCUUUUUCUUAAACUUUCUAGAUCUUCUAAAUUAUCUCCAAAAUUAACCCCACAGGUGAACGGUGCAGAAAGAGAGAAAUUGAAGUUAGAGCUGUGUUUCAUGACAUCUUCACACUCUUUAAUCUGCCUUUUGUAUUUUAAGAUGACAUAGUAGGAUUUGUUCUUAUUCUUGGCCACUUCUAAGAGUUUGAUCAGUUGGUCAUGGUAGUGCUGUAAUUCGCUGAAGGCGUUGUACCUAAGUCGGUCUUGAAAAGCAGGGUAGAGGCAGGCCUGCUGCUGGUAGCCCUGAUUCCCACGGAGCAGCUCCCCAUACAGGGAAGCAUCAUACCACAGCAGACUUCGGAAGGUGGGCUUACUGCCCAACAGACCUUUCUUGUUCUCAAUGAACUGUAUGGUUUCCAUCAUCAUUUGGAGUUCUACCAGGGAAUCUACCGCUUGUGGGUGGAGGUGGUGUUUACAAUUAUUCCAACCAUUCCCUUCUACCAGCAGCUCCCGAGAAAUCAGUAUAUGUUUAAAGGAACAUUUUUGUUUUCUUUCAAAAGCUUCAAUGAAUAAAGGAAGAACUGCUUGACA